rnacentral:rRNA from 1 species
UUGGCCGAGAGGUCUGGGAAUCUUGUGAAACUCCGUCGUGCUGGGGAUAGAGCAUUGUAAUUAUUGCUCUUCAACGAGGAAUUCCUAGUAAGCGCAAGUCAUCAGCUUGCGUUGAUUACGUCCCUGCCCUUUGUACACACCGCCCGUCGCUACUACCGAUUGAAUGGCUUAGUGAGGCCCUCGGAUUGGUUUAAAGGAAGAGGCAACUCUACCUUAGAACCGAAAAGUUGGACAAACUUGGUCAUUUAGAGGAAGUAAAAGUCGUAACAAGGUUUCCGUAGGUGAACCUGCGGAAGGAUCAUUACAGUAUGAAAUUUCUGAACCAGCGCUUAACUGCGCGGUGACGAAACCUUCUUUACACACUGUGUUUUUGUUUUUUACAGAACCAUUUCUUUGGCUUGGCGCAAGCUGGGCCAAAGGCAUUAGUAUAAACACAUUUUUUAAAUGUUUAAUUUUAACUGUUUGUCAAUUUGUUUGAUUAAUUUCAAAAUAAUCUUCAAAACUUUCAACAACGGAUCUCUUGGUUCUCGCAUCGAUGAAGAACGCAGCGAAAUGCGAUAAGUAAUAUGAAUUGCAGAUUUUCGUGAAUCAUCGAAUCUUUGAACGCACAUUGCGCCCUCUGGUAUUCCAGAGGGCAUGCCUGUUUGAGCGUCAUUUCUCUCUCAAACCGCAAGGUUUGGUAUUGAGUGAUACUCUUAGUCAGACUAGGCGUUUGCUUGAAAUAUAAUGGCAGAAGCGUACUAGAUAGUACACUACUGGUUUUAUUCAAUGUAUUAGGUUUAUCCAACUCGUUGAACAGACUGGCGGCGUAAAUUUCUGGUGCUUAGGCUUGGCCUAUAACAACAAACAAGUUUGACCUCAAAUCAGGUAGGAUUACCCGCUGAACUUAAGCAUAUCAAUAAGCGGAGGAAAAGAAACCAACAGGGAUUGCCUUAGUAACGGCGAGUGAAGCGGCAAUAGCUCAAAUUUGAAAUCUGGCACUUUCGGUGUCCGAGUUGUAAUUUGAAGAAGGUAUCUUUUGGUUAUGGUCUUUGUCAAGUUCCUUGGAACAGGACGUCAUAGAGGGUGAGAACCCCGUCUGACGAAGUGCCCAUUUCCUUGUAAAGUUCCUUCGACGAGUCGAGUUGUUUGGGAAUGCAGCUCUAAGUGGGUGGUAAAUUCCAUCUAAAGCUAAAUAUUGGCGAGAGACCGAUAGCGAACAAGUACUGUGAAGGAAAGAUGAAAAGAACUUUGAAAAGAGAGUGAAAAAGUACGUGAAAUUGUUGAAAGGGAAGGGCUUGCGAUCAGACUUGGUAUUUUCCCUCGGGAGUUUACCGGGCCAGCAUCAGUUUGGAUGGUAAGAUAAUGGCGCUUGAAUGUGGCUCUACUUCGGUCGAGUGUUAUAGCCUGCGUUGAUAUUGCCUAUCUAGACUGAGGACUGCGUCUUUGACUAGGAUGCUGGCAUAAUGAUCCUAAGCCGCCCGUCUUGAAACACGGACCAAGGAGUCUAACGUCUAUGCGAGUGUUUGGGUGUAAAACCCGUACGCGUAAUGAAAGUGAACGUAGGUGAGAGCCCUUUGGGUGCAUCAUCGACCGAUCCUGAUGUCUUCGGAUGGAUUUGAGUAAGAGCAUAGCUGUUGGGACCCGAAAGAUGGUGAACUAUGCCUGAAUAGGGUGAAGCCAGAGGAAACUCUGGUGGAGGCUCGUAGCGGUUCUGACGUG